UACGUAGGGAGCAAGCGUUGUCCGGAAUCAUUGGGCGUAAAGCGCGCGUAGGUGGCCUCGUAAGUCCGCUGUAAAAGUCAAAGGCUCAACCUUUGAAAGCCGGUGGAUACUGCGGGGCUAGAGUACGGAAGAGGCGAGUGGAAUUCCUGGUGUAGCGGUGGAAUGCGCAGAUAUCAGGAGGAACACCGGUGGCGAAGGCGGGUCUCUGGGCAGUAACUGACGCUGAGGAGCGAAAGCGUGGGGAGCGAACAGG
rnacentral:rRNA from 1 species